rnacentral:lncRNA from 1 species
CGAUAGUGAUAUGGAUUUUCGGAUAUAGGGUGGUUGGAUCUGUAAUUGUUUUAUUUUAAGUGAGGAUAAGUUUGUAUUUUAACCAAUUUUCGAUUUUUUUAAUUAAUUUUUUUUUUCCUUUUGGUCAAACCCUUAAGAGAAUAGAAGAAGUAGUCAAAGGGUACAAGAGAUUUUAGUCCAAAAAAUUUCGACAAAAGUUUUCCGCCAAAUAUUUUUUGACAAAAAAAGUACAGGAAAUUUGGACACAAAAAUCGACAUAUAAUUUGAAAAAUAAAAUAAAUCAACCAUUA